GACGAACGCUGACGGCGCGCCUAACACAUGCAAGUCGAACGGAGUCAAGAGGAGCUUGCUUUUCUUGACUUAGUGGCGAACGGGUGAGUAACGCGUGAGUAACCUGCCCUGGAGUGGGGGACAACAGUUGGAAACGACUGCUAAUACCGCAUAAGCCCACGGAUCUGCAUGGAUCUGCGGGAAAAGGAUUUAUUCGCUCUAGGAUGGACUCACGUCCAAUUAGCUAGUUGGUGAGGUAACGGCCCACCAAGGCGACGAUUGGUAGCCGGACUGAGAGGUUGAACGGCCACAUUGGGACUGAGACACGGCCCAGACUCCUACGGGAGGCAGCAGUGGGGGAUAUUGCACAAUGGGGGAAACCCUGAUGCAGCGACGCCGCGUGGAGGAAGAAGGUUUUCGGAUUGUAAACUCCUGUCGUUAGGGACGAUAAUGACGGUACCUAACAAGAAAGCACCAGCUAACUACGUG
rnacentral:rRNA from 1 species